rnacentral:rRNA from 1 species
GUGAGGAAUAUUGGUCAAUGGCCGAGAGGCUGAACCAGCCAAGUCGCGUGAGGGAUGACGGCCCUACGGGUUGUAAACCUCUUUUGCCGGGGAGCAACGGCGGCCACGUGUGGCCGAGAGGAGAGUACCCGGAGAAAAAGCAUCGGCUAACUCCGUGCCAGCAGCCGCGGUAAUACGUAGGUGGCGAGCGUUAUCCGGAAUGAUUGGGCGUAAAGGGUGCGCAGGCGGCCUGUCAAGUCUGAAGUGAAAUAUACAAGCUCAACUUGUAUUGGCUUUGGAAACUGGCAGGCUUGAGGACAGCAGAGGGCGGUGGAACUCCAUGUGUAGCGGUAAAAUGCGUAGAUAUAUGGAAGAACACCAGUGGCGAAGGCGGCCGCCUGGACUGUUACUGACGCUCAGGCACGAAAGCGUGGGGAGCAAAUAGGA